CCCAAACUCAGGCACCUCCAUUGGGCUGCUACUCCUGUACUCUGCCCCCUUGUCAUUCUGCCUCUCUGCUGUUUGACAAGUCCUUCCUGCAGCCUGAUCUGCUCCUGACCCCAGAUCAGGAGCAAGCUCCCAGGAGCAGAAACUGCACUGGCUCUGCAGGGCUCCUGCACUGGCGACUCCUGAGCUGAGCCACUCUCCUGUGAUCAGUUCCAGUGGGACAAGAGUGGCAGUAUUCUUUCCUCCCAUUUUUGUGAGUAACCAGGUUUUCUCUCUCUCCUUUGCAGAAGGACAAAAAUACAGCCUUUAGCCUGAAGCAGGAUCCCAGCAGGGGUCUGGUAUCCCCAGAUUUCAGCGCUACUGUAGGUCCUUUUUCUGGAACCUGCUUCCCUGUGUUGGGCUGGACAGAGCAAAGCAGAAGUGGGACUUUGGGGCAGAAAAGGUACAAGACUGGAGCAUGAAGGUACAAGCCCAUGUCUGGGAAAUGGUUCUUCCAUGGACAUUUCUGAGAAAAUGAGGGCUUGUUCAGAGACAGGAAGGGACUGGACCUUCUAUGAAAAGAAUGGUGUAAAGUGCUAGUAAAAAGGACACCCUUUUUUAAAAAACUCACAUUUCUCAGCCAGAACUUCUGUUCAGAGGGAUGGCUGGCUUUUUGCCUGCCAGUUUGGCAUGCAGGACUAGUGUGGUGAGUUGUGUGUAAGGUACUGUUUUCCAGCCAGGUUUGUUCCUGGCUGUGCUUCACUUCCAUUUGUUCUUUGUCAUUUGUUCUUCACCUCUUUGAAACAUUUUAAUUGACUAAUCAGUUUGCAGAGUCAUCAGCGUGUGAGGUAACAGUCCCUCUCACAUGUACACGGGCCUUCCUCCCCGAGCACGUACCUGUGAGUGGCUGAGGUGAGCAGUGGGCACCUCCACUGAGGCAUGGAGGCAAGGAUCAGACUGCACAGCAGCCAGAGAAGGAAGUGGUGUCAUUCCAGACAUCGGACAAGUUAUGGAUGUGGAGCUGAUUUGUGUGAUGCUGGUGGGACAUGGAGCAGUGGGGCACCGCUGUUUGUGGCUGUGUGGAGCUGCACACCCUGGACACCCAGCAGGGCUGAACAAGAUGCCCUGGCAUCUUGGCACCUCCUUGCAGCUGGCAUAGGCAAUGUGGGUGUGUAGAUACCCUUCUGGAAGGACAAGGAGGGGCUCUGAUAGAGAAGCUCCAUCCUGUGGUAGGGAUUUGAGCUUCACAGGAUGACAGUGCUGGUGGGGCACAGCCCUCUGUUUGCACUGGGCUGGGUGGUGCAAACAAUGAUGGUUGCUGCUGACAACCUUGGAAAUUUCCUGGAAUUCCAGGGCUGGAGCCAGCCCCUGCUCUGGGGAAGGUGGAUGCUGCGUCUCAGUCCAUAAAGUCCCCAGAAUGGGAGAAAGGGGUGAGAGACACACAAAGUCAGUAGUAAAAAGAAAUGAAAGUCGGCAGCUUGCCACAGCAGAGUGCAGACUCUGCAGAGCUGCCUCUUUUAUUGGCGCCCAGACUGGAGGGAGGUUUAUGCUCUCAAACAAGCCAAAUUGGAAAUGGAGCACAGGCCAGAGCCCUGCAAGCAGGCUGCUGCCCCCAGUACCAGGAAGGGUAUGUGGACAUCUGAAAUCCUUGCCUUUCCCUCACCCUUCUCUUCUCCAUCCUUCCUCCUUUCCACUCCUUUUUCACUGUCCCUUUUCAUGUCUCAAAUCUUCCCCUUCCCAUGGCUGGGUUUGUCCCCCAGUGCUGAUUUCCCCAACAGCUCCUGCCAUCAGCUGGUACUGAAAAGCCCUUUUGGUGGUGGCAAUAGGCCAGUUUGCUCAAAGGCAGCCAGUCUGGGUGGCCCAGUGAGUCUGGGAGGAGUUAUCUGUAGCCCUCUCUUUCUACUGCUUCUCUGCUAAAUGCAGAGGAGCAAUUUGCAUUACAGUGACAAUGUGUUGAAUGCCUGUCCUCAUGUUUCUGUCCUGCCACUAGGAAAAGAAGUGUGCAAGACAUGGAAGAAUCAGAGCAAACAGCAGACAUGAUGUUGAAGGCAUGGAGAGGAGACCCAUCACCCAAGGACCUGGCACAUAAUCUAGCAUGGCAAGUGGUGGUUAGCAGCUGGAUGCCAGAUAUGACAUGAAAAUAAUUUGCUAAUUAAUGCAAAGCCUAAAGUCAUACAAGCAGUAGGUGGGGAGAAUUGGGUGUUCAUUCCUCAGCAAGCUCCCCAAGUCUGUGCUGAACAGGGCAUGGAGACCACUGUGAUGCCCCAGGAUCCAGCUCUGACAUGCUGAGUCUGUUCUGUGACAUCCAGGAAUGUCAAUAAAAGAGCACUAGAGACUGAAGGUGAGAGAUCAGACACCAGCUACUCUGGGGACCUGAGCUCUCUUCUCUUCUCCAGCUGUUUUUUUUUCAUGUCAUUUCAUUUAUCCAAUGCCUCAGUUUGCUGCCUGCAAAAAGCCCAAAGGGAUUAUGACAUCUGUUGUCAGAUUAAACUGUGGUCUUGACUAUGAGAGGUCAGGUACCAUGGUGGGAGCGUUUCAGUCUGAAACCGUGCUCCCAUCCCACGUGGUGCUCUACAGCGUGGGUUCAUUUUCUGGGAAAAGGUCCUGCUAAAGUCAGCUUGGUGCUCAUGCACUGUCUUCCAGCCAGCAUGCAGGGAAAUUGUUUGCUCUCUUUCUUUCCUCCAGUUUUGGCUGUUGAAGCAAAAACACAUAAUAAAGUAAAGAGGGUUUUAAUGACAAUCUGCCGGCAUGUUUAAUAUUCCAGCUUGAGGAAUGAUCCAGUUAUGUACUGGAGCCAAGGGAAAGGAUGUCAUUACUUCCAGUGCACACUGAAUCAGUGUCUUUGCAAAGAGAAGCAAACAUCACAAAGGACCUGGCUGCUCACCACUGACCCACAAAACAAAGCCAUUGCUCCAACAGAUACUGAGCUUUAGACUCAGAGCUUGCUCUCCUGUAAUCACUGUGUUACAGAUCCAUAAAGAAGGGAGAACUUGGGUGCUCUAUGCAGCUUUAUUGAGUAUCUUCCCCCCUGCAAUGAUCAAUAAGGUUGUUUUUUUUUCCUGCUCAGGGAAAGGUACAGGAAGUUUUCUGUGCAAAACCUUGGCAUUCCCCAAUUCAGGUCUGAGAGAGAGAUUCAGAUGUGUGCUUUUGCUGCACUUCUUUGUAGCUGAGACUCUCGCCACAUCUGCUGGAUUUAUGGCCCCAAAUUGGCUCUGUCAUCCAGUAAUCCUUCCUGUGCACACAAAUAUUUGGACAACUCUCAUUGUUUCAGAAGCAGACUAGCCUGUGUGGCUCCACUGACAUUACCUACUCUGCCAGGCAGGUGGCUGCAGAGAAAACAGCUUUAUUUAUACAGUGCAUUGGAAUGACAGAAGUGGAUUCUUGAUAGCAAGGAGGAUGAGGGACCUCUGGAUACAAGGACCAGUUGCCCUUUUCAGCCCAAUUGGCAGUGGAAUCUAGUCUGCUCCUGCCAUCAAAUCAAUACCAUGUCUUCCUGAGGAGAGCUGGAUUCUGAACUGACUGGAGGUUGAAUCCAGGGUACUUUAAGGGGUUCCACUGCUUCCAAACACAUGGAGUGAGGCAGAAAAUCAGACAAAGAACCUAAGGGUUGUAAUAAUGUCACAGAGUGCAAGUAGAGCUUCUUAAGAACCAAAGCUGCUUGUGGGGCAGAGCCAGAGACCUCUGACAGCUGAAAACUUACUGACUGUUGAAAGUUUCCCAGCAUUUUGGAGUCAGGAUUUGAGAGAUAGUGUGCAGUAAAGUUAGCAAAAUCACAGCAGGAGUGUAACUGAUUCAUUCCAUUGAAUCCUUGUCUGAAUGGAAACAGGUCCACAAGGCCAGAUGCUCAGGCUCCAAGUGGUAGCAGGGUUUAUUGCUAGGUUGGAGCAAGGAAAGGUCAGCGUGGGGGGCAAUGCCAAGUGAACAUCUGCUGUCUUGUUACUUGUGAGUCAAAGGCAAAAAUAUCUAAGAAAGGUGGAAAGAAAGGGUCCAGCUUAUGAUGCCAGUGAAGACAGGACCCCUCUCUUUCACUUUAAGACUGAGUUGAGCAUCCGCUUUUCCCCAGGUGCUCACAUCAGGCUGUCUCCUUUGCAGGGCCCAGGCAGUCUGGUGUAAGCCAUGGUGGCCUGGCUCCCUGCAGUGGCUGUGCCAUCCUGUGCUGGGGAUGCAGUCCAGCAGAUCUCUCGGAGAGGCAAAGCUCGUUUCUCUCCUAAUCGAGCAGGUGGUAGCAACCUGGUAUUUCAGGCGUGCUGCCUCCAUUCCCAAACACAGCUGAAUUCCUGAUGCAAGGAGACUUUACAAGACCCAUGAGAGACACCAAAGGCUGACCCUUGCUGUCAUUGGGAGGGAGGAACUUUCUGGUUACCUCUAAACACAAAGGACAAAGCAUUGUAAGAUAUAUUUAAUAAAACAAAACACACACACACA